GGCGGCCCACUACCAGACGGUUACAAACGUCGCCAUCAAUCCGUUACCUCCUCCGCCUAUAAAAAGGGGGACCCAGAUACGUUAUUCUCUAAGCUCAUUUCUUAUCUCAAAACUCUGCUAAAUUCUCCGUUCGAGCGCUCCAUUCUUGUUGAGGCAGAGAACUGACUUGAGCGUCGGAGGGUCUUGCCGGAGCAACCCCACCUCCG
rnacentral:lncRNA from 1 species